rnacentral:tRNA from 1 species
GCCGUUUGGCUCAGUUGGUAGAGCAUGGUGUUUGCAACGCCAGGGUUAUGGGUUCGAUUCCCACAGGGGGCC